rnacentral:rRNA from 1 species
UAGCAUUAUAGAGCUUGCUCUUAUGAAGUUAGCGGCGGACGGGUGAGUAACACGUGGGUAACCUGCCCAUAAGACUGGGAUAACUCCGGGAAACCGGGGCUAAUACCGGAUAACAUUUUGCACCGCAUGGUGCGAAAUUCAAAGGCGGCUUCGGCUGUCACUUAUGGAUGGACCCGCGUCGCAUUAGCUAGUUGGUGAGGUAACGGCUCACCAAGGCAACGAUGCGUAGCCGACCUGAGAGGGUGAUCGGCCACACUGGGACUGAGACACGGCCCAGACUCCUACGGGAGGCAGCAGUAGGGAAUCUUCCGCAAUGGACGAAAGUCUGACGGAGCAACGCCGCGUGAGUGAUGAAGGCUUUCGGGUCGUAAAACUCUGUUGUUAGGGAAGAACAACUGUA